AACGAACGCUGGCGGCAGGCCUAAAACAUGCAAGUCGGACGCCCUAGCAAGAGGGAGUGGCGCACGGGUGAGUAACGCGUGGGAACGUGCCCUUCAGUACGGAACAACGUCGGGAAACUGACGCUAAUACCGUAUAAUAUCUCCGGAUCCAAGAUUUAGCGAUGAAGGAUCGGCCCGAGUCUGGUUAGCUAGUUGGUGAGGUAAUGGCUCGCCAAGGCUACGAUCAGUAGCUGGUCUGAGAGGAUGAUCAGCCACACUGGGACUGAGACACGGCCCAGACUCCUACGGGAGGCAGCAGUUAGGAAUAUUGGACAAUGGGCGAAAGCCUGAUCCAGCCAUGCCGCGUGUGUGAUGAAGGCCUUAGGGUUGAAAAGCACUUUCGUUGGGGAUGAUAAUGACCGUACCCAAAGAAGAAGCCACGGCUAAAUUCGUGCCAGCCGCCGCCGUAA
rnacentral:rRNA from 1 species